rnacentral:ncRNA from 1 species
ACUGUUCCCUGGGAUUGGCUUUGGGCCUUUCCUGCGCAGCUUAGGUGGAAGGCGAAGAAGGCCCCCUUCCGGGGGGGCCCGAGCCAUCAGUGAGAUACCACUCUGGAAGAGCUCGGAUUCUAACCUUGUGUCAGACCCGCGGGCCAAGGGACAGUCUCAGGUAGACAGUUUCUAUGGGGCGUAG